GGAAGGUGUUGCUCGAGGCCGGACUCGAGGAGGCGAGACGGGUGAGCAAAGGCCGCUAGAGCCCAGGGUUCCAAGAGGUCUGGGGCGGCGGCAGGCCCCUUGCAGUUACCCUGGUGUUGAGGAGGGUCGGUCGCUGCCUCGCCCAGCCUGCUGCUGAACCCGCUGAUGCCCAGGCCACCCGCCUGCAUCUUGAUCACCGACUUGAGCUCGUGAUUCUCCCGAAGGAGCCGCACCAGCUUCUUCAGUUCCUCAUUUUCCCGCACCAGCCUCUCGAUCUGAUGGCGAAGCCCCUCGUAAUUGAGCACAGGCUCCGGACGCGCAGGCUCAGCGACCGUGGCUCACGGGCCCAGCUGCUCCGUGGCAUGUGGGAUCUUUCCGGACCGGGGCACGAACCCGCGUCCCCUGCAUCGGCAGGCGGACUCUCAACCACUGCGCCACCAGGGAAGCCCCCCUGUGACGUAUUUGGCCAGCCUUUUCUGCCUGGUCCUAGGAAAGUGUCUCUUCUCUCCUCCCUUCUUCAGCAGAUCAGAAAUAAAGACUUUCCCAAACCCAGUGUCCUUAGAAUCUGCUGUUUGUGCCCUGGGUUUGUGACCCGAGGACUCGCUAGAGCUAAGCUCAUUUGCUUGGUGGUGAUGAUGGACACCUGCUUGGGCUGACCAACGCUUAGACUCCCCGUGACAGUCCUCUCCUCCUAGCGUCUUGCACCACAGUGUUUAGGCUGAUGUCCCGCAGCUGGGAUACUCUGACCCCAGAACCCCUCUUUGGCCAGUCUGGGUCCUUGAGCCCCAGCUUGAGGAAUUUCAUGCUACAGUUUAUGAUGUAGAUGAGUACCUUCUCUGGUGCACUCUCUUAAUUUGUCGUGUUACUGAAAAAUCUGGUUAUAGGAGGGAAUCCUAAAAAAAUACGGUUUGCUAAAAUGCUUGUUUUGAAAAUGUGAAUUUGUUUCAACAUGGUUGAUAUAUUUAGGAGCAGUUUGAACAUAAGGCAAAUUCCGUUUGUUUACGUGCAAUUUUGUUUAUGAGAAAUGGGUGAAAACAGAAAGCAAAAACUGCACCCAGAUGAAUGGACCACAGCAACAUAGGAACGUGCAAAACACACACACCUCAGACAUCUGCCAGUGCCUCAGUUCACUGCCUCCUCUCUGUGCUGAGCCACACCUCGCCACAUCCGGGUCACAACUUCCCAUCCGAUUUCAGACAACUCACUUCAUAGUAACCCACAAGCCACGACCCUGCCCCCGCCCACUUCUAUAAACUGGCUUCAGGUCUUCUUCAAGGCAAAUGCCAUAUUUAUUGUAGUAUUUUUGGUAUUUCUUAACCAUGUAACAUAUGUAAAACUGUGCUGUCGUUUUUAUUAGGUUGUUGAGACUUCUUAAAUAUUUCAUUGAUGACGUUUUGAGUACUGUGCCUCUAGCCUCAUUUUCCUCAAAAGUCUUGUGGCUUUUCUUGUGCUGGUUGGACACACCUGAGCUGCCGCUGGACUCUGGUAGUUACUGAACCUCCGAGAGCGACAGGCUCCUCAUCUGUGAAGCCUCCCGAAUGUUCAUUUGUCCAUUCGGCACCCGAGGACUCGGGCACGUCUGUCUGUGUGCAGAUGCAUGCCAAGCUCUGGGCACACGGUGUGGACGAGACCACUGCUCCAGCAGAGACGCAUCGAACGAGGGCCACAAA